UUACCAUUCUCGGUGCCAGGAUGAAGGAGACAGUGGACAGUCCUCGGCCUUCUGGAGCUGACGUUCUCGAGACUGUGUGGUCUGGCUGCACCAGUAGCUUGCAAGUAAGAUGAAAAGUUUUACGCAGAAUGAGCCAUCCAGGGCUGAACUGGCAGCUCCUCAGCUCUCCUCUCCACUGUCGCUAGAGUGCAGCUCCCUCCUCAGGAUGAUCUCGUGAUUGCAACACGACUGAAGCAGCCCUGGGUGGGUCUUCAGCGUGUCUUCACUCCAGGCAGAUUAGCCCUGAGCUAACAUCCACUGCCAAUCCUCCUCUUUUUGCUGAGGAAGACUGGCCCUGAGCUAACAUCCAUGCCCAUCUUCCUCUACUUUAUAUGUGGGAUGCCUACCACAGCAGGGCUUGCCAAGUAGUGCCAUGUCCAACCCGGGAUCCAAACCUGCAAACCCCUGGCCACCAAAGCGGAACGUUUUCACUUAACUGCUUCGCCACCUGGCCGGCCCUGUCAUGUGCUCUUGAGAGCGGUUGAUGAGUCUUGCUCUGCACCACGGUGGAUUGAAGUGAGACGUUAAGACCUUCCGAAAUGAACUCUUUACUGAGACAAUGAAUUUGCUGUAAAUUUUUCAGAGGAGACAUACAGCAUUUUGGAAAGCUUGGAAUCAAUUACACUAAAGGAUCGAUCCAAGUUGCAGAACAUAGGAAAAUUUCAGCGAUCCCAAGAUCAUAAUGCCUUGCACACCUAAGUAUGGUUUGGCGAAUCAACUGUUCAGUGCUAACCUGCAUGGGGUAAUUCGCCUCUAUGGAAUGGGUGUUUCAAAGAGACAAACACAAAGGUUUUCCCAACUCCUUUCAGUGGCCACAGUUCUUAAAUGUGAAUGGCACGUGUCAAAGAAAUGAACACUAAUAUGAUUAGUGCCAGUAAUUGCCAAUUCUAUAACUAAAUCCAUGUUCUAGACCCCUGCUCUCAUCUUAGAAAUAAAAAUUGCCAC
rnacentral:lncRNA from 1 species